AGUGCGGACCAGCUAAACGUUUUAUUAAAUUUCUUGCACGACAACAAAGAAUUAGCCAGGGGCAUGCUCAGGACGAGUGACGGCAGGGCUCGAGCAAAGCGAUUGUGGAAGAUUUCGCAGUUGCUCAAUUCUCUGGGUGGUAGCAUAAAAACUGUGCAACAAUGGCAAAAGGUGUGGACUGACAGGAAAUACUUAGAGAAAAAAAAUGCAGCAGCUGUGCGCAGAGACCACACAGGGACUCGACGUGGACCUUCUUCUGCUUCCCUUGCUCAGUGGGAAAUACGGGUCCUCGAAAUAAUUGGUGAGGGAUUUGGUGGACCACAAACCACAGGUCGUGUGCCAGCCUUUCCCAUAAUUAGGUAAAUAAAUAUGAAGUGGAAGAGAGUGCACCGUCACAACCACCACCAAACACUCUGGACAAUACUGAUCCUGGGGAUCAAAAAACUCAGGCAAU